GACAGAGGGUGCGAGCGUUAAUCGGAAUUACUGGGCGUAAAGGGCGCGUAGGUGGUUUUGUAAGUUAGGUGUGAAAUUCCCGGGCUUAACCUGGGGCGGUCACUUAAUACUGCAAGACUAGAGUGCAGGAGAGGAAAGCGGAAUUUCCGGAGUAGCAGUGAAAUGCGUAGAUACCGGAAGGAACAUCAAUGGCGAAGGCAGCUUUCUGGACUGAUACUGACACUGAGGCGCGAAAGCGUGGGGAGCAAACAGG
rnacentral:rRNA from 1 species